ensembl:lncRNA
CUGACUGACAGGAGCUGCUGGUCCACUGGUCUACGGUUCAAUGAGUAAUCGCGACGGAUCUCCUGGGAGCUACGAACGCGCUGGCCUCUGCUGACGGAGCAGUGUUCCUGGCUCCAACUCUUUGGACACGUAUUCUACAACACCAGAGGUCAUUUGAUAGCACAGCUCCCACAACUAAAAAUAGAUCGGGAGAUUUCUGGGGUUUUUGUUUUGACUUCAACCCUUGGAACUGGUUUCAUUAACCUCUUUUUGGAACUCAGUAAACACAUGUGGAAAGAAAUCUAACCAUCACCUUUUGUCUCUGCUGGUUACACGUGGCAUCUGUAAAAUGACCAAGCGAGGA